rnacentral:lncRNA from 1 species
UCAUGACUCCUUUUAUAAAAAUAUUCUAAUUUGAUCAUAAAAUACGUCUCGUUUAUUUUACCUUAUAUAUUUCAGGGAAGUCUAUGGUGUCACUGUGAGGAUGAAAAGUGUUGUGAUUCUGCCUCAGAUCAGAGGAAGGAAAGUAGAGGUUUCUUACAACUGCAUAGGGCAAGAGAAGAGUUUAGUCUUGUAUAAAUUUUAUAUAAUUUCUGUAUGUAGAUUGAUUGAAUGUGGUAUAUCUAUGUGUUGGCAGCAUGAUGCUGCUUGUAUAAGUUUUAUAUAAUUUGUGUACGUAGAUUGAUUCAAUGUUCUGACUACCUAUACGGUUAGGACAGAAGUUUCUGGAAUAACAAGAAAGAGAAGGAGAUUGCCUGAUGAAAGUGAUUGCAGAAAAGAAUAAGCGUUUGUUAGUAAGUUCAACAGUGAUGAUGGAUCUUUUACUAAAAGCAGACUGCUUUGUGAUCAGUCAAGAGUGGAUGAUGGAGCUUCUUCCAGAUCGGAAGAGAGGAGAGGCAAAAGGGGGAUAAACNUUAUUUUAACAUUUUUUCCCUUUUGAAUAAAGAAGUUAAAUGAGGCAAACUAAUUUACAUAUGAAUAUCAGGUCAGAUAGAUGUCCUCUGAUUUAUGUUUGUCAUUAAUUUAAAUUAAUCAAACUGCAAACUACAGCUAUGACAUACUUAUUUAGUUUUCCUUGCAAGUGGAGGCUGGUUAUAUCUGAUUAUUUGCUGGUACCAAUAUGAUUAGUCAGAUAAGCUCGCUGUGAAUGUGUAAUUGUGAUUAUUUGGCUCUACUGAUGGAAGUCUGGUACCUGAACUGAUUUUAAUUGCACAGAAUAGUCAAAUGGACGUUUUCAUAAUUAGCAUUCCAUGACAACAAUGACACACAUUUGAUAUGCAGGACGUGUAGACUAGACUAUUUCAAGUUGUGGACGUAGCAACUAGAUGUCUUCCUUCUAUCUGAAUGCAGUUGUGAAAUGGAAGCAUAGCAUAGCUUAGUGCUUCUUUGGAAGAUAUCUUUUGUUUCAAUACUAAGAGUUCAUACCUUCUAGCUCUAGGCAUCAAUAAAACAAGUCAUGUUCUCUUCUAUUUUUAGCUGGUCUAAAUUUCAGAGUUUUUUGUUAUGAAAACAAGCUGGAAUAAUUGAAUUGCUUAAUUAAACUGUACAAGCUGGAUAAAAGAGGAGUGCGGAUUUAUAAUAGAAUCAUACAGCU